rnacentral:rRNA from 1 species
UGCCAGCCGCCGCGGUAAUACGGAGGGUGCAAGCGUUAUCCGGAUUUAUUAGGUUUAAAGGGUCCGCAGGCGGAAUAUUAAGUCAGUGGUGAAAGCCUACAGCUCAACUGUAGAACUGCCAUUGAAACUGUUAUUCUUGAGUAUGGAUGAAGUGGGCGGAAUAUGUCAUGUAGCGGUGAAAUGCAUAGAUAUGACAUGGAACACCAAUUGCGAAGGCAGCUCACUAAACCAUUACUGACGCUCAUGGACGAAAGCGUGGGGAGCGAACAGGAUUAGAUA